rnacentral:rRNA from 1 species
UGGGGGAUAUUGCGCAAUGGGCGAAAGCCUGACGCAGCGACGCCGCGUGGGUGAUGAAGGCCUUCGGGUCGUAAAGCCCUGUCGAGGGGGACGAAUCAGCCUCGCCCUAACAUGGCGAGGCCUUGACGGUACCCCUAAAGGAAGCACCGGCUAACUCCGUGCCAGCAGCCGCGGUAAUACGGAGGGUGCAAGCGUUGUUCGGAAUCACUGGGCGUAAAGGGCGUGUAGGCGGUCUAGCAAGUCCGAUGUGAAAUCCCGAGGCUUACCCUCGGAAGUGCAUUGGAUACUGGCGGGCUAGAGUCCCGGAGAGGAGAGUGGAAUUCCUGGUGUAGCGGUGAAAUGCGUAGAUAUCAGGAGGAACACCGGUGGCGAAGGCGGCCCUCUGGACGGUGACUGACGCUGAGACGCGAAAGCGUGGGGAGCAAACAGG